AUGGGCAAGUACGACGACGGCGGCGGUGGCGGCAGCUACCCGCUGGUGGCGGUGUGCAUCGACAAGGACAAGAACAGCCAGAACGCGCUCAAGUACGCGACGGAGACGCUGGUGCACCGGGGCCAGACCCUGGUGCUGGUCCACGUCAACACCCGCGGCAGCUCCGGCGGCGUGGAGGACGCCGCCGGGUACAAGCAGCCGACGGACCAGCAGAUGAAGGACCUCUUCCUCCCCUUCCGCUGCUUCUGCACCCGCAAGGACAUCCAGUGCAAGGACGUGCUCCUCGACGACCAUGACGUCGCCAAGUCCCUCGUCGAGUUCGCCGCCCACGCCGCCGUCGAGCGCCUCGUCCUCGGCGCCAACACCCGCAGCAGCUUCGUCCGCUUCAAGGCCGACGUCCCCAACAGCGUCUGCAAGACCGCCCCCGACUUCACCAGCGUCUACGUCGUCAACAAGGGCGGCAAGGUCACCUCCGUGCGCCAGGCCAUCCGCCCCGCCCCCUCCGUCUCGCCGCUCCGGACCAUGAUCCAGGGCGGCGGCGCCGGUGCUGCCAAGCCGCCCGAGCCGCAGCAGCUUGCCGCGGCGCCCGCGGCCGCGGCCGCGCAGAAGUGGGCGGCGCCGACGCCUCCUCAGGCGACGCGAGCCGACUCUACCGUCACGCCGACGCUGCAGCCGCAAGAGAACUUCAUCAUGUCUCCGUUCUCGAGGGGCCCGACGACGACGUCGGCGAGGAAGUUCCCGGACUUCUCGCAGACGGAGUCGUCGGACAUAUCCUUCAUCGGGGUGGCCCCGACCCAGCGGCGGAGCGUGGACCGGAGCGGCGGAGCGUCGUACCCGCCGCGGCUGUCCACCGGGUCGGACACCUUCGAGCACAACAGCUUCGAGGCGCCGCGCUCGGGGUGGGGUCUCGACACCUUCGGCAACGAGAGCACCUCCAACUCCCAUACCAGCGUCUCCUCCUCCCUCCCCGCGGAGGACAUGGAGGCGGAGAUGCGGCGGCUCCGGCUGGAGCUGAAGCAGACCAUGGACAUGUACAGCACGGCGUGCAAGGAGGCGCUCACCGCCAAGCAGAAGGCCACGGAGCUGCAGCGCUGGAAGGAGGAGGAGCAGCGGUCGCAGGACGGCCGGCUCACGGAGGAGACGGCGCUGGCGCUCAUCGAGCAGGAGAAGGCCAAGGCGCGGGCGGCCAUCGAGGCGGCCGAGGCGUCGCAGCGCCUGGCGGAGCUGGAGGCCCAGAAGCGGAUCGCCGCGGAGAGGAGGGCGCUCAAGGGGGACGCCGGCGCCUCGUCGGCGAGGUACCGCCGGUACACCAUCGAGGAAAUCGAGGCGGGCACGGAGCACUUCUCCGACUCGCUCAAGGUGGGCGAGGGCGGCUACGGCCCGGUGUACAAGGGCCAGCUCGACCACACCCCCGUGGCCAUCAAGGUGCUCCGGCCGGACGCCGCGCAGGGCAAGGCGCAGUUCCAGCAGGAGGUGGAGGUGCUCAGCUGCAUCCGCCACCCCAACAUGGUGCUCCUCCUCGGCGCCUGCCCGGAGUACGGCUGCCUGGUGUACGAGUACAUGGCCAUGGGCAGCCUGGACGACUGCCUCUUCCGGCGCGGCGGCGGGCCGGUGCUCCCCUGGCAGCACCGGUUCCGCAUCGCCGCCGAGAUCGCCACGGGCCUGCUCUUCCUCCACCAGGCCAAGCCGGAGCCGCUGGUCCACCGCGACCUGAAGCCGGGCAACAUCCUCCUCGACCGCAACUACGUGAGCAAGAUCAGCGACGUCGGGCUCGCCCGGCUGGUGCCGCCGUCGGUGGCCGACACGGUGACGCAGUGCCACAUGACGAGCGCCGCGGGCACCUUCUGCUACAUCGACCCGGAGUACCAGCAGACGGGGAUGCUGGGCGUCAAGUCGGACGUCUACUCGCUGGGCGUGAUGCUGCUGCAGAUCAUCACGGCGCGGCCGCCCAUGGGGCUGACCCACCACGUGGCGCGCGCGCUGGACCACGGCACCAUCGCCGACCUGCUCGACCCGGCCGUGCACGACUGGCCCGUGGACGAGGCGCGGCGGUUCGCGGAGAUGUCGCUGCGCUGCUGCGAGCUCCGGCGCAAGGACCGGCCCGACCUGGCCACCGGCGUGCUCCCGGAGCUCAACCGGCUGCGCGCGCUCGGCGAGGACAACAUGCAGUUCUGCAACCCGAUGAUGGGCGGCAUGGGCGGCGGCGGCGGCUUGCGCACCGGCAUGACCAGCUCCGCCUACAUGAGCAACUCCGCCAUGUCGCAGUCACGGCUGGGGCCCGUAAGAAAACCAACACGAUCGAUCAUCCACCAUUUCUCACCCUCCUUGUUGCAGACGAUCCAUACUGACACGGGUAAAUCAUGUGCAUGCAGGAUGCGAUGA
rnacentral:rRNA from 1 species